AUCUACACUAAUAAAAGUAAGAUGCGGAGCCCAGAGUGACAGUUUUCCUUGAUGGUCAGCCAUUCUGUUUGCUGUAACCGAUCUGCAACAUUUCAGGAAAAGACAAUG